UACGGAGGGUGCGAGCGUUGUCCGGAAUCAUUGGGCGUAAAGGGCGCGUAGGUGGCGGGACAAGCGUGCGGUGAAAGCUCGGGGCUCAACCCCGCGUCGGCCGUGCGAACUGUUUUGCUUGAGCACUGUAGAGGCAGGCGGGAAUUCCGGGUGUAGCGGUGGAAUGCGUAGAGAUCCGGAAGAACACCGGUGGCGAAGGCGGCCUGCUGGGCAGUAGCUGACACUGAGGCGCGACAGCGUGGGGAGCAAACAGG
rnacentral:rRNA from 1 species